GUAUCCGCUCGGGCUUUCUCAGUCCUGUGGGCGGCGCUGGGCCACUUAAAAGGACCCUGGCCUGCCCGGGUCCUCUGGGAAUGACGCAAGAAAGUCAGGGUCGACUUGACUGCAGACAACACUCACGCGAAGAAAAAAACGGGGAAUGACGCCAAGUGGGACAACCAAAGGUGUUCAGUGCCUCCACAGCAGGCAGAGAGCUAAAAGAAGAAAAGAGACUGCAGGGAGAAAAUAGUUUUCCUGGUUGGAAAAGAUCAGAAGGAAGAUUCAUUUAGGAACGCAAGACCACAAGUAUCCUAUUGUUUACACACACCAGCCCUGAUAAGAUGUAGGAGGGGAUGACACCAGGGUGUGAAUGCCAGGAAGCAGUGAUCAUUGGAGGUCGGCUACCUCACUGAUCGCAGUUGAAGGUGAGUGCCGGUUGUCCUGAAAUGCUUGUAAAGGGGUUACAGGAUGCCUAGGGUCUCAGCGCAAGGAGGGACGUGGGAGCCUGAGUGUCCCUCCCCCUUUGUUUUGCAGCUGACGAAGCUGAAGUUUAGGGAUUUACUGGAGAGCAUGCAGCCACUCUAGUCAGGAGCCCAGGGUCUCAGUCUUGCCUUGGUCCGAGUGAGAAGGACCGCGCCUCACCCUCACCCAGCCUCACCCUCACCCAGC